rfam:Caenorhabditis tropicalis strain JT1373 unplaced genomic scaffold Scaffold629, whole genome shotgun sequence.
CCAACGGCCCUCUUCAGGGCCACAAUCAUUUUUAAUCCAAACUGUU